CAAAAAACAACUAUUGUUGGGGAAAACUGGUCUUCACAGAGGGGAGAAACCUAUGAAUCCAGCCAAGCAGAAUACCCUGAGAGUAGGAAAUGAACCCACAUCUACAGACUUCUGAACUCUGGCUCUCUGCAGACCAAGGACAGUCAACUCUGAGCGGGGAGAGAAGUAUCUUAACUGACCUGGAGACAUCAGGAAUCCACCAAAGGAAACAAGUCUGCAGUAUGCCCAGGCCCAGAUCCUCAAAGAUAUUUAGGUGCCUAACUCCCAUUGUGAGGCACUAGUAUUUCUCCUUCUGAUUGCACAGCAGCUCAGAGGGGCAAGAGGACAGUUGCGUUUUUCAAGGGUAGGAGGAGGGAAUGAAGGGAAGACCAAUGAGAACUUGAGCCAGUCUCUGUGUGUACCAAGAGUUGUAUUUGUCAGAAACAAUCAGUCUGCCCCUUGCAGUGCUCCGAAAGCUGUUGAAUGCGAAGUGCCUAGAUAGAGCAGAAAUAUAAUAUUGAUAUAUCCCAAAAUCACA